UACGAAGGGGGCUAGCGUUGUUCGGAAUUACUGGGCGUAAAGCGCACGUAGGCGGAUUUUUAAGUCAGGGGUGAAAUCCCGAGGCUCAACCUCGGAACUGCCUUUGAUACUGGAGAUCUUGAGUUCGGAAGAGGUUGGUGGAACAGCUAGUGUAGAGGUGAAAUUCGUAGAUAUUAGCUAGAACACCAGUGGCGAAGGCGGCCAACUGGUCCGAUACUGACGCUGAGGUGCGAAAAGCGUGGGGGAGCAAACAGG
rnacentral:rRNA from 1 species